UUAAAUCUAAUUUGUUUUGAUUUUUAUACAUACCAUAAGCCAAGUACAUAAAAUCACAUUUUAAUUUCAAUUUUCUUCACAAAAUUGAAUGUCACAUCCAUUUACAUUUGCAUUUUAAAUAAAAUACAAAUUUAAGUUUACAUCACAUUCCAAGUGCAUUUCAUACUACAUUUCAAAUAAAACAAAUGAAAUCCGUUUUCAUUUCAAACAAACACAAAACUUACAUUUCAUCUCUAAGUACCCAUAACUACCUUAAUCCCUACAAACUAACACAAUUCAAUCCAUCCACUCUUAAACCCAUCACAAAAAUCAUUAUCCUAGGAUUCUAAUUCGAUCAUGCCUAACUAACUUUCCCUCCACUUUCAUCAUUACUUAAACAACACUCAUCACCAUCAUGAGAGGGUAAUCACUAUUUUAAAAAAAACACCAAAAUCCCAAUUAUUAUCUCAUUACAAACUUCACACUUCACCAAUCUUCAUCAUGUUUCCAUAAUCCAAAGUUCUUCAUCCUUCACCAUAUUCAUCUUCACCCUCAAACUUUUUCACUCUUCCAUAAUCACACUUUACAAACUCACAAAAAAAUCCACAAUUUCACAUCCUCCAUAAUCAAAAUUUCUUCAUUCUUCCAUAAUCAAAAUUCACCAAAAACCUUCAUCAAUCAUCAUCAAUCUUCAAGCAUCUUCAACCAAGCUUCACACUUCCAGCAACUAUCUUCAUUCAUCUUCUACCAAUAUUCUUCACAUCCUCCAUCAUCAUCAUUUCAUCUUCAUACUUCAACAAUUCACCAAACACAAUCCUUGAAUCAAUCUUCAAACAUCUUUAUCAAUUCUUUCCUAUUAUCAUCAUCACCUUCAAAAAUUUAAAACCACAACAACAACAUUCAAAAUUCAGUAUCAUCAACAUAAACAAAACAAAAGCAAAAGAGAAUAAAAAGAGUUGUUUAAGCAUCUCAUAAAAAAUGUGGUGAGGAAGAAGCGGAGCAGUGAUUAUGGCAACAACUCCCCUCCAAUCCACAAACCGAUUUGAUCCAAAUCAUCAACAGCAUGCAGCAGUCACAAAUAAAGCAAAACAGAAUCGAAAAGAAGCAAAAGAUUUGUUGAGGCGUUUUAUCGAACACCUUGCGAGCAAGAACGAAUUUUGUAUUUUUAUUCAUUCCAACCGGUAAACUUCCAUCUAAUUCCAUUCUUUGAUAUUGUAUGCUUGUUGUAACUUUAAUUUAAAUCAAAACCUAUACUGAAAUCAAGUCAUGAUCAAAACCAAACACAAACCAUAUUUUAUGUCAAAAUUGAAUAAAGCUUACCGGAAUGCGCUUCUAAACAAAAAUCAUUUCUAAACCAAAACAAAAAUCCGAAACCAGAACCAUUAAAACUGAAACUGAGUUGGAACACGCAGGGUGAACCGAAAAGCUGUAACGUGACGUUCUGAACCAAAAUAUGAAUUCAAAACGCAAACCAAUUCAAAACCAGAACUGAAAACUGAAAUACCAACUCUGAACCUACCAAACCGCGAGUCGAUACGAACCGAAACAGUGAGAUAUGGACGGAUUUGUAGUUGUUACAUAAGUAUGAAACUUAACUGCUGGAUGAGAAAUCGGCGAAAUCGCUUAUGUGGUGAUCAAUGUGAGAAUUGUGUUUUGGCUUACGUGAAGCACGACUCAGGUUCGUUUCUUCAUCCUGCGUUUUCAACUUACAACUUACUGCUAUAUGCUAUGUACCGCUGCAUGUAAUAAGUUUUGCUUUUCUAACUUUUAUGCUAUUAGUUUUAUGUAAUAUAAUAUAUAAUGUACUCUCUUUCUACGUUUAUUUUAUUAUUUAUAAUUCCAACACAUGUCAAAUUUGGAUUGGUAAUUAAAUUAAGUUUAUAAAAUGAUUUUACUCCCUA
rnacentral:lncRNA from 1 species